rnacentral:rRNA from 1 species
AACCUGGUUGAUCCUGCCAGUAGUCAUAUGCUUGUCUCAAAGACUAAGCCAUGCAUGUCUAAGUAUAAGUAUUAUACAGCGAAACUGCGAAUGGCUCAUUAAAACAGUUAUAAUUUAUUUGAUAAUCGAAUCUACAUGGAUAACCGUGGUAAUUCUAGAGCUAAUACAUGCUGGUAGGCCCGACUUUUUGGAAGGGCGGUAUUUAUUAGAUAACAAACCAAUAUUCCUCUGGUCUAUUGUGGUGAAUCAUAAUAACUGAUCGAAUCGCAAGGUUUUUAUCCGCGAUAAGUCAUUCAAGUUUCUGCCCCAUCAGCUUUCGAUGGUAGUGUAUUGGACUACCAUGGCUUUUACGGGUAACGGAGGAUUAGGGUUCGAUUCCGGAGAGGGAGCCUGAGAAACGGCUACCACAUCUAAGGAAGGCAGCAGGCGCGUAAAUUACCCAAUCCUGACUCAGGGAGGUAGUGACAAGAAAUAACGGACCGAGGCCUUCGGGCUUCGGGAUUGCAAUGAGCCGAAUUUACACCCCUUAGCGAAGAUCGAUUGGAUGGCAAGUCUGGUGCCAGCAGCCGCGGUAAUUCCAGCUCCAAUAGCGUAUAUAAAUGUUGUUGCAGUUAAAAAGCUCGUAGUUGGAUUUCUGGGAAAGUGCAUAUGUCCGCCUAAACGUGUGUGCAUCUGCGCCUUCUCAUC